UUAAUUCUCUUUAUACUGCUCAGUUAUAAUAUUUUUUGAGCUUUAAUAAGAUCUAUGCUAUUUCAUGUUUUUUUAAAGAGCUAAAGAUCUUGUAUUGUUGGCAUUUGUAUGCUAUGAGUUCAUAUUUAUGCAGGAAAGUGCCUUAACUUGACAUCUUACAUCUGCACAAAGCUUGUGUUAGUUGCUAUUUCAGCAAUGUACCUUUGCGCGCAUUGCAUGUGUAACAGAAUGGUAAAUUAAAUAAUUGAAACAUUAGGUUACAAACAUUACACCCUUUAUAGCUAUAAAAUCAAAACAUGUACCCCAGCCCAUUCCAUCCCUUUCCAUCUGUCCUCUUUUCUUAUUAUUUCUCAUUGUCCUGGCCGAAAUUAAGUAGGAAAGCUAACAGUUUGGA
rnacentral:misc_RNA from 1 species